GCUUGAGAUCUUGGCAGAAGUUGUAGAGGAGCCAAAUCUUAGUGAUAUCAGAUCAUCACAAGCAAUAAGCCUUGAAGUUGAUGAGAGCACAGAUGUGUCGAUGUCCAGGCAGCUUGAUUUGCAUGUCUGAUACCUGGACAAAGAAGGACAUGUAUUUAAUCAGUUCUUGGACUUGGUCCCUAUUCCUGAUGGCAAAGCAGACACUAUUGUGACAGCCAUCAAGAACGUAAUGCUGAAGAAGGCUAUCCCAACUGAGAAACUGUAUGGACUGGGAACUGAUGGGGCAGCUGUUAUGACGGGACGUGUGAACGGUGUGGCAAAGCAACUUGCAGAGAGCUUUCCAAAGAUUGUAUCUGUUGCUUGUGCUGCCCACAGAUUAGCCCUUGCCUGCAAAGACUAAUCUAAUGAUGUAAAAUACAUGGCCACUUUCAGGGACC